CAUACUGUGAAACAAUACCAUCUCCUUUUCUCUUCAGCUCUGCAAAAGGACAGUCAAUGACAAACUGCUAGCACCUGAGAAAGCUGGCGAUGUAGAAAAAACAAUCUUAAAAUUUGUAUGGAAUCACCAAGGACCCCAAAUAGCCAAAGCAAUCUUAACCAAGAAAAACAAAGCCGGAGGCAUCACAUCUCCUGAUUUCAAAUUAUAUUACAAAGCUAUAGUAAUCAAAACAGCAUGGUACUGGCAUACAAAAAGGCACAUAGACCAAUGGAACAGAAUAGAGAGUUAAAAAAUAAAUUUUUCAACUGAUUUUCAGCAUAGGCACCAAAAACAGUGAAGAAAGGAUAGAAGACUCUUACAUAAAUGGUGUUGGAAAAAACUGGACAUCACAUGCAAAAGAAUGAAAUUGGACCCUUACACUAUACACACAAAAAAAAACUCAAAAUGAAUCAAAGACUUAAAGAUAAGACCUGAAACUGUAAAAUUCCUUAAAAAAAAGUGGGAAAAGCUUCAUGACUUUGGUCUUGACAAUGAUUUUUUGGACUUGAAACCAAAAGCAUAGACAACAAAAUAAAAAAUAAACAAGUGAACUAUAUCGAACUAAAAAGUUUCUGUACAUCAACAGAAAAAAAUCAACAAAAUGAAAAAGUAGCCUAUGGAAUGGAAGAAAAUAUUUACAAACAAUAUAUCUGAUAAGGAAUUAAUAUCUAAAAUAUAUAAGGAACUCAUACAACUCAAUGUCAACAAAUAGCCUGAUUAGCAAUGGGCAAAGGACCAGAAUAGAUAUUUUCCCAAAGAAAACAUACAAACGAUCAGCACGGGAGUUUUGACCUGCUCCGUUUCCGACCUGGGCUGGUUCACCCCUCCUUAGGCAACCUGGUGGUCCCCCGCUCCCGGGAGGUCACCAUAUUGAUGCCGAACUUAGUGCGGACACCCGAUCGGCAUAGCGCACUACAGCUCAGAAC